rnacentral:rRNA from 1 species
CCUACGGGAGGCAGCAGUGGGGAAUAUUGGACAAUGGCGAAAGCCUGAUCCAGCAAUGCCGCGUGAGUGAUGAAGGCCUUAGGGUUGUAAAGCUCUUUUACCAGGGAUGAUAAUGACAGUACCUGGAGAAUAAGCUCCGGCUAACUCCGUGCCAGCAGCCGCGGUAAU